AUUCGCGAGGUCGAAGCAAAAUUUGACAGCUUGUGUGAGUGACGCGAAUAUAAACAUUGAAACGGAAAAUUUUAUACUUUUCAAAUUGCAUAGUUUUAAGUGAUUUUCAGUUUAAUUUCGGUCAUGGAUUCACUAGCAGAAACAGUUGAAACAUGCUGUGUUACGGUCGAUUUGACUAACGUUUUUGAUUAUGCUGCUGGUGGAAGCCGUUUAGUCGUCGAGGGAGAACGAGUUUAUAAAGCUGGACACUUGCUUAUAGUUGGAGUUGAAGAGAUCCACCAGGACGGCGUCAGAAUUUUCUCUACAUGUCUGCAAUCUUCUUCACCAAGUUCAGAGCCACAUACCAUCAGAAUAAGGACGAGGUGCUCUUUUCCAGAAUGGUCAUUUCAAUGUUCCUGCAAGGCUGGAAUGGGGAAGUGCAAACACGUCAUGGCAGUUCUGUAUUAUUUGCUCAAGACCCCAACGGUUGCACUGCUAACUGUGACCGACGUGAAGCAAAAAUGGGGGAAAAUUGCAGCGAAAACAGCCUCGGAUAUGUAUAAGACAAC